UAUCUUCUCCUAGUUUUUUUUUUUUUUUUUUUUUUUAAAUACGAAUGGUAGUGUUGUCGGUUUUUGAAAGCCAAUUUUGUUUAUAGAACAGCGACUUUAUUAUCUAUCAUACUUAUUGUUUUUGGCUGUGUUUGGCUUUCAUUCGUUGUUAAUGAGACUGAGAGUCCAUUCUAUUUAUUGUUUUUGUUUUGUUAUUUAAAAUUUCUUCCAGUUCCAGUGUAAAUUGUUCUGUAGUGACUACUGAUGACGUAUGUGAUUGUUGAAGGGGUGUCCUACUUCGUAGGGGUUGACU